AUCAUCCAGUUUUUUUCCAUUUGAAUGCAAUAGCUUUCUCCUUUCCUAUCAUUCUAGGAAAGUUAACCUCAGUAAUGCCUCUUUUACGUACCUGCCCUUCAUCACUAAUACUGCUCCUUACAUUUUGAAGAAUUAUAAAAACAGACAAAGUUUUGUAUCUACGUGUUGUUUAAAGGCAUUAACAUCAACAGAAGCACAGAAGAAGGCUGAACAACGCAAAAAGAUGACUACUUCUAAGCAUCCUGCAAUUUAAAUGAAAUGUAUUUAUUUCAUUUCAAUGCCAGGAAUUAAGCUUGGUUUAUCAGUAAGACCAGAUCACAAUAGCUGCAUUCACUCCUACUCAAUGUCAGAAUUGAGGGAGGGAAACGAGCAAAAAAGAAUGGGAAAAAGAUGUGUACAUGUGUGCAUACUCAGCGUAUGUUCUGAAAGACACUGCACUAGAGAUGGACACAAAACAGGAGAUGAACUCUUUUUUUUUCUUAAAAAAAAAAAAAAAAAGCUUGUAAUUUAAACCUAGAUCACAAUAGGAAUUUUAUGUCUGACUUUUCUACACUAAUGACUGAUAUGAAAAUGCAGACAUGUCACUGCAGAGAACAAAACUAAAAUCGGCCUUCAAAAAAAAAAA